AGCUGAAAAUGGAACAAAAUAUUGAGGUACUUGCUUGACUUAAUUAAGCUAGUAGGUGAGUCACUUACUUGAACUAUUUGGACCAAAUUCUAUGGACCAGAUUUGGACCUAUACUAAUGUAAUGUACUCAUUUGGGCUCAAAUUGAAUAGAAGAGAAAUAAAAUGGGUAAAAAGGCCCAAUACUCAAAUCUGCUAAGGCCCAAGUUAAAGAGAAGAAAAGAAGGGAAAAUGGGUGGCUAAGGCCCAAUAACUUUGGAUCCACAAAAGACCAAUCUAUUGGAAAAGUAGAUACAUCAUUCACUUGAUAAAAUAUGGGCCAAAAAGGAUCAAGAAAGUCGGCCAAAGAGCAGCUCCUUUAUAUAGAUUGAAAUCAGCAAUAUUUGCUCAUUUUUAACUUAGACAAAAAUUUCAGCUUCUAGGUUUUUCUCUCUUGUUCUCUCUUGGCUAUGAAGUAACCCUAUAUACCCACAAGGGUUCUUGGAAUUGACCUUCCUCCCAAGUUAAAGGUAAGUGAGAAAUUCAUGAGCUUGUACUAAGGAAACUAUGUGUUCUUCAAGAUUAAUUUCUGGACAGCCCUCUCUAUAAGUUGGACAGUCCAUUGUUCUUAGUUAUUAAGAUAAGUAAUCUAAAAGGCGAGAAGUCUAGCUGGGCUAGUUUCGGAGUUAUAUAACAAGCUUCUAGGUUUUACUCUCAUGUUCUCUCUUGGCUAUGAAGUAACCCUAUAUUCCCACAAGGGUUCUUGGAAUUGACCUUCCUCCCAAGAUAAAGGUAAGUGAUCAAUUCAUGAGCUACUAAGGAAACUAUGUGUUCUUCAAGAUUAAUUUCUGGACAGCCCUCUAUAAGUUGGACUGUCCAUUGUUCUUAGUUAUUAAGGGAUUUAUUUCUUUCUCUGUGUGAAGGUAUUAAGCUAUUGAAGAGAUACAAAUUAAGAGGAUAAACUAACAAGGAAAUCAAGGUAUGUUUAUUGUCCACUUUUGUCCUUUUUCUAUAUACAUAUGUUGGUAGAGGAUUGCACAUAUUUGGUUGUUAUUAAAGGAUGAUUGGGGUGUUGUUUGCGGACUAUUUUGUGUGUUUGUAUUAUGGAAUGCCAGGUUGAUGUUGGAGAAAGGUGUGGUUAGUUUGUAAUGAAAUAUAGAAGAAAGGUGUGGUGGUACAGCACCGAACUAAUUGUUGUAUUUGUUACUGCCCAAUUUAUUUGUGUGUUGGUUGGAGGCUGCAACGAAGCUGAUAUGGUUUUGGUGAUCUUAUGAGGACAUGUGUGGUAUGUGGGUGUAAUUGGAGGAGGAAAGGGUUAAAAUAACGUCCUUGAUUGAUGGAUUACGUGUGUACGGCCCGGUUACUAUUUUGGUGAAGUUAAGUAGCCUAAACAUGUUGGUUGGUUUCUAAUACUAGUUUACCAUAUAUUCUAUUGUAGAUAAGUAAUCUAAAAGACGGGAAGUCAAGUCGGGUUAGUUUCGGAGUUAUAUAACCAGGUAUGUAUGGCAUACUCUAUUUGGUACUCUUUGGCAUGAAAUGGAACAUUGGUUCCAUCAAGUAAGUUUCCAAGGUUGUCCAGUAACAAGUGACACCUAAUAGCAGCGUAUUGCAUCCUAUGAAGCCAACGACCUUGUUCCCACUCUCUAACAUAUCAAAACACCUCAAUACAUGUUUAUUAUCAAAUCUACACAUCUAUCUUCAAUUGAAAAUUUUAGUUCUCCAUUUACACAAUUAGACCCACGUGUUAUUUUAAGCUCCUAAACACUUCAUUUGUGUGUCAACAGCUCCUUACCUUAUUUUUGUUGCAUUAAGUGCCUAUGGAUAUGUCUCUUAGUUGCAGGUUAUUAUUUCAAGGCACCAUAAUGUGAUGACCACCAAAGUAACAAUCUCAAAGACUAAAUAAACUAAGUAACGCAAAUAUAUAAAACGAGUGGCAGCUUAGGGGCAUAAGCCUAGCAUGGGCCGAUCGCGAUACCUUUAUAUGUGGGUGACAGCUCAGGGGCACAAGCCUAGUAUGGGCUAAUCCCAAUCUUUAUAUGUAGGUGGCAGCUCAGGGGCAUAAGCCUAGCAUGGGCCGAUCCUAAAUUAUCUAUUUACCACUGAUCAACUUGUCAUUUGCAUGAUAUAUGACUUACAAAGAUUAUGAAGUAAGAACAUAAAAAUGAAGAAAGGAACGUAAUGUAUGUAUUUUCACAAGUGUAUAUAAAGGUGACCUACUAGUACUACUUAUAUCUGAUUUCUAUUGAGUUUUUGUAUCAUGUGUUGUUACCUUCAGCCUUACAUACUUAGUACAUAUUUUUGUACUAACGUCUCUCACGGGGGACUUGUAUUUCAUGCUGCAGGCACAGGUACUUUAGUUCAUAUACCUCAUUAGUAAGAGCACAGCUAUUCAGUGACUAUUGGUGAGCUCCAGGUUGAUUCAGGGCUUUCUGAGUCUGUUCCAAAUAUUUUGGUAUUGUGCAGAAGGUUAAGAGUAGGGCGGGGGUUUGUCCCGACCCUAGCUAAGUAUAUGUUUCUUUUAUUGGCUUUGUAGACUAAUGUAAAGUUAUGGUAGUAUUUUU